CGACUCUCGGCAACGGAUAUCUCGGCUCUCGCAUCGAUGAAGAACGUAGCGAAAUGCGAUACUUGGUGUGAAUUGCAGAAUCCCGUGAACCAUCGAGUCUUUGAACGCAAGUUGCGCCCGAAGCCGUCAGGCCGAGGGCACGUCUGCCUGGGUGUCACA
rnacentral:rRNA from 2 species